rnacentral:rRNA from 1 species
UACGAAGGGGGCUAGCGUUGUUCGGAAUUACUGGGCGUAAAGGGCUCGUAGGCGGCCAACUCAGUCGGACGUGAAAUCCCUCGGCUUAACCGGGGAACUGCGUCCGAUACUGGAUGGCUCGAGUGUGGGAGAGGGAUGCGGAAUUCCAGGUGUAGCGGUGAAAUGCGUAGAUAUCUGGAGGAACACCGGUGGCGAAAGCGGCGCACUGGACCAUAACUGACGCUGAGGCGCGAAAGCUAGGGGAGCAAACAGGG